CAUGCAUCAAACCUAGGCCUAACAAACCUUAUCAUUGUGUAGCCGUUGCACCCGUACACACAUGAAGACAAAAGCAAGAGUGUUGACUGAGAUUCAUGGGCUUUGACAAACACUGCAGUCUUCCUGGGCCUAAGUGAAGAUUCGCAGGCCCAACUACAGUUUCUUACUAGCCCAUCAGGAGGAAUACCGGAUCGAAUCCUCACAUACUCCACCUCGAUCCUGAUUCCGACGUAUACCCGAGAAAACCAAAAGUCCUCCUUGUCUUCUCCGUCUGUUCCGAUUGUCUUGUCGGAACCCUAGCUCACUUCCGAGCUAGUGUCAGUGUCUAAGCACUCUUAGAUCGCUACGCCCAUUCUCAAAUUUCUUCACUGGUAGUGGUUUAGUGAGGAGGUCAGCUGGAUUGAUGCUUGUAUCGAUCUUAGUUAGGACCAGAUCUCCUUCUGCUAUCACAUCUCUCAUGAAGUGGUAACGGAUCUGGAUGUGCUUCGUCCUUUCGUGGAAGACACUGUUCUUAGCCAAACAAAUGGCGCUUUGCGAGUCACAGAAGAUCUCGACUGUCUUCUGCUCAAACCCUAGCUCACUGUGCCGAUCUCCAGCUCACCGUGUUUCCUCCGACUUGGAAAACAUAGCCGGUGAUUGAUCUUCUCCGAUCAAGGUCAGCUGCAUAAUCACUGUCGCAGAAUCCCUUUAUCUCGAACUUGUCAGCCUUCUUGAAGGAGAACUCAUAUAGCGGCUCACCAACCCUACUACGUGAGCAAUGUCUGGUCGCGACCCUACCAUUGCGUACAUAAGGCUUCCGAUUGCGCUUGAGUAAG